AUCUCCCUGAAAAGCCUUCCCGCCAGCUAGAAUCUAAAUCGCCAGGCGACUAAAUCUCCCCGAAUCUUAGCUUGUGCCCUUACCCUUAAACAUAAGCAAAGACACAAAUGUGACAAUUUAAGAUAAGCAGGUCUCUGGGGAGAACUGAGACUCACAGCUUAAAGGGCAAUUCACUUUUAUUAGCAAAAUUGUUUGAAAACAUAAAGCACGGCACUAAAACUCCCAGAAAUGUGUUCAAACUUUCAUAAACCUGCCUAAUAGUGUAAAAUGGACACAUAAUUAGGGGGCGGGGCCAAACAAUUGGCUGCUGUAAGUUGCCAGUCACUAUUUAGUGGGCUGUUUGUUUGUGGGCUUCUUUAGAAUCCCAGUCCAGUCCUGGUCUAGUGAAAUCCUCCACACACAGGACAAACACUACUGGAAGGGGCAGGUUUUGAAUGGGAAAAAGCACCUCAGCUUCUCUUGUGAGAAAGUAAAACAGGGCAUUAUGGGACAAAACAAGAAACGUCAUUUCCUUUAGUGACGCUGCCAAUUUCUCUCCUCACGCUGAAAAAUCUGACGUCACUUCAAACGAGCCCGCCAAUGGCAACUUCCACCUAUGGGGGCAGUAUAGAGUAUUGCUUUUUCAGUGAGGUAUUACGGGAACUAUUAUCCAGUCCCCAACAGAGAGCAUAUCCCGCUUCACCGUCCCCAUUCCACUCACACAGCACCGCUCCCUGUGCCACUGCUUGUACCCUCCCUACUCUGAUCCUCACACAUAACUGCUGCUCAUAGACACGCCCCCGUGCGUCACCGUGUCCGCCCACACAUGGGUCACGUGGCGGCGAUGUCAGCACUUCCGGUAUCUGGAUCUGCUGCUGCGUUCCACCGGUUACUAGUCUGUGCCCUCUCUCCUGUACUAAGUGUCUUAUUAUUAUUAUUAUUAGUCAGGGGAGGCCUUACAGCAGGAACAAACUGUAGGAGCUACUAUUCUCUCCCCCCCUCGUUGGCAGGAAAACCCAUGGCGGUUGCGGAAAAUGUGUCCGGCUGUUCCCUUAGCGCAGUGAUCCCCAACCAGUAGCGCAAUGUGGGACUGGUCUCAUUUGUCAUUGUCUGGGACUCCAUCUGCCCUGCCCAUGAUGAAGUGAGAGAGGCCUACAGAUCCUGACUUCUGAACCAAUGGAUGCAAACAUCCCCUGCAGCCUAUGGUCCUAUAUCCAGCCUGCUCCUCUUGUUCUGCCAAACCAUUGCCAGUAUUUUCCAGAGACUCCCAGACAGGCAGCUGUGAGAGUUAAAUGGAAGAAAACCUGGAACACUGAUGUAUCUUUAACAUUGUAAGAUGCAGAAUUACAGUCGUGCACUUAAAAAGGGAAAGUUCAGUUCAGAUUUCUUAUAUUAUUGAAGCUGCUAUUUAAAGCACUUGUUACUUUUUUUUUUUUAAUUCUGAACCUUGCUUUAAAGCACCCUUUGGCCCGUGCAUACAGAAUCUUCCUAUUAAUAUACUGUCACUCUUCUUCACACUUUAAACCCUGGAGAAAAUCUUUAUGCCUUAAAAUUUAGACUUGCCAGCUUUAAAGCUGAAAUGAAUGAGAUUUUCACACAACUGGUAUUUUAAUGUGAGCAAGUAACGUUCUAAACCAAUCUAAAUCAAUAAAUGGGCACUGCUUUCUGA